rnacentral:rRNA from 1 species
AUUGAACGCUGGCGGCAGGCUUAACACAUGCAAGUCGAGCGGGGUGAUGGUGCUUGCACUAUCACUUAGCGGCGGACGGGUGAGUAAUGCUUAGGAAUCUGCCUAUUAGUGGGGGACAACAUCUCGAAAGGGAUGCUAAUACCGCAUACGUCCUACGGGAGAAAGCAGGGGAUCACUUGUGACCUUGCGCUAAUAGAUGAGCCUAAGUCGGAUUAGCUAGUUGGUGGGGUAAAGGCCUACCAAGGCGACGAUCUGUAGCGGGUCCGAGAGGAUGAUCCGCCACACUGGGACUGAGACACGGCCCAGACUCCUACGGGAGGCAGCAGUGGGGAAUAUUGGACAAUGGGGGGAACCCUGAUCCAGCCAUGCCGCGUGUGUGAAGAAUGCCUUAUGGUUGUAAAGCACUUUAAGCGAGGAGGAGGCUCUUUUGGUUAAUACCCAAGAUGAGUGGACGUUACUCGCAGAAUAAGCACCGGCUAACUCUGUGCCAGCCGCCGCAGUAA